UUUUGUUUAUUUAUAUGUUAUUAGAUUUCGCAAUAUUCUCCUUUCGCAGCAACGUUAUCUUCCAACCUGCCGAGUCAUUAUAUUUUCUAUUGAUGGAGUCUAGAGGGCAGCUGCCGAUGUACCUUUUCCCCAUCCACUUGCUCCAGAUUCCAGAUUGAUCCCAAAGUCUACACGUUCUCUCUAUGAUGGCAGCCUGCUGGAUAGUUUUAUAGUCCCUAACCCCGAUUCCACCAUGCGCCUUUGACUUUGUCAUUUUCCCCCAUGAGACUUCCUUUUGAGAUUCCCAUAUAAACUUGUAAGUGAUCGACUGAAUUUCGCUAAGGACUGCCUGCGGUACAGCAGUGCUCUGUGCUAUGUAACCGAAUUUGCCGAGGAAGAUCCAAUCCACCAAUUGGAUUCUCCCCUUGUACGAUAACUUUUUCGUGGUCCAUCUUGUGAGAAUCAUCUUCAGCUCCGCCAAGAGGCUAUCACAGUCACGAUAUCUGAUUGCUCUCCCGGUCAACGGCGUGCCAAGGUACUUUAUCGGAAGUUCUUUUGUUUGAAACCCGAGGAUCGCGCCCAUCUGUGUUCUAUCCUCAACUCUUUUGGAGAAGACUAACGAACUCUUUGCUGGGUUAAUUCUGAGACCGGAGAAGCUUUCAAACUCCGUUAGCACAACCUUAAGCCCGUUUAGUGAUUUUCUCGACGCCCUACAGAAAAAGGUGACGUCAUCUGCGAAGGCUAGAUGACUCACGAUUUGUACUCCUCCCAUUGUGUAUAACUCAAUCAUUCUGUCAUUCACUGCUUUCUUCAUAAGGCUUGAAAGGUAUUAAAUUACUAUAACAAAUAGGAGGGGAGAAAGCGGGUCACCCUGCCUGAGACCUCUUCUUAAUUUUAUGAUUCCCGUUGGGCUCCCCUCAACCAAGGCAGAUACAGAGGCAGAUGUGAUGCAAGCCAUAACCAUCUCCCUAAAAUUCUGAUCGAGACCCAUUAAUUCCAUAGUAACGUCGAUCGCAUCCCAUCUGAGAGAGUCGAAGGCCUUGGCAAAAUCGAUUGUUACACACGCUCUCCUAGAGGUGCUUUUGGAAUUGAACUCCUGGGUGAACUCCUGGGCCAACCCGAUGGCGUCGGUGAUUCGUCGACCCCUAACAAAUGCCGUCUGGUUAUCACUUAUCAGGUUGGGGAGCACACUCAUUAGUCGCGCAGACAGAAUUUUGGAGAGUAUUUUGUACACGACGCCCACGCACGAAAUCGGACGAUAAUCUUCUAAUCUUUCCGGGACUCGGGUUUUUGGAAUUAGAGUGAGUGUAGCAAGGUUGAGGGAUUUCAGAAGCCGCUUUGUACUGAAGAAGUAGACAAUCGCGUCAAAGAUGGCUUUCUUCAUUGUCUGCCAAUGGUGGGCCACGAAUUCUGAAGUCAGCCCAUCUAUCCCCGGCGCCUUGUUCCUGGACAGAUUUUUAACAAUUUCGCAUAUUUCAUCCAUUGGGGGGAUGGUACGGAGCCUUGCGUUUUCAGCCAGAUUAGGUCCACCUGUGAUAUUAAUGUUGAGAUUGGGUAUUGGCCGGGGUCUGAGAUGCGCUGAGAAGAGCUCACUGAAGUGUUCUACUGCCCUACUUUUCAUUUCUGCCAGAGAGUUUGCCUGGCCUCCAUUUAUGUCGAUUGUCCCCAUUACUGAAUUUCUCACCUGCCUCGACUUUAUUGCUUGGGCUAAGAAACGCGAAGCCUGAUCACCUUCCUUUAUCCAACUAGCGUAUGCGCAUUGCUGCAAGUCCAGAAGCUCCCUAUAUUGUAGUUCAGAGAGCUUUUCUUUGGUCACUUUGUACUCAGCUUGGAUUGUGAAGUUAUGUGGAUCUAUCUGUAAUUGGAGGGCAAUCGCUUGUAGCGCCGUAGCUACCUUCCUUGAGUCCUUGGAGCCACGCUUUGCCCUUGCCCAGUCCUUCCCCAUUGCUCGCACUGCAUUGAUUCUUUGUUGUAAUUGGAAUAGAGGGGAACCAGCUACCGUCGAUUCCCAAACCUCGCGGAAACGCGUAUUAAAGUCAUUGUCUCGUAGCCAGCUGUUAAAAAAUUUGAAUGGUGUUGAUGCCCUAUCCAAUUUGACAAGCUGCAGAUGAAGGCCCGCAUGGUCACUUGUGGUGCCCAUGAUUAGUCUUGGCCUCACCUGUGGCCAGCGCGCAAUCCAGCCGGCACUGCCCAACGCCCUAUCCAGGCGUGAUCUAGUGUGCCCAUUAGACCAUGUAAAUGUUCCUCCCACUGUCUCAAGUUCAGUAAGUCCAGCCACUGCAGCUUCGAAAUCAUCCGAACUCGCUCUGUCGAAGGUCCCUCGCCCAUCCCUUUCGGCUGGGUGUCGGAUCUCGUUAAAGUCGCCGAUUAGUAGCCAGUCGUUGUCGAUCGAUGUUGGCCGGAUUUCACUAAUUCCUUGUCGAUCGAUGUUGGGGUAUUUUCACCGUAAGCCACUGUCAAGUCGAAAGUGUAGCCUCCUAUGCUUGUCAUCUGUGCAUGUAUGUAUUGUUCAUGGGUUCUAAGUAUAUUCCCAUUCCACCUCCCGGUUAUCCAUCCCAACCAGAUGGAGUCCUUUUCAGAUUGGUCUUGGUUACGGACUAUGGUCCAUUCUGCACCAAUUCUAUCAACUGCUUCCGGGAAAUUGUUUAGUUUGUUUUUGGUUUCAAGGACCCCGAAAAUUACAAUCAGGAUUUGAUCAUCAGUAUUUAUGCCACGGAAUGUAGUGUCCAAUCCAUGGUUAAUAUAAAAAACAUAAGUAUCUUUACCAUUAGAAGACAAGCUUAUUAUAAGUUUGCCAUUCCGGAGGGUUAGUCACCCUAUUUUCUUCUUCGAUAGUGAUCUUUGUCUGCCGAUCGGUGAUGGUCCGCAGCUUGCCAACCGGUGGUUCAUCCACAAAUAGUGAUGGGUAUCGUCGACAACAGCGGCGACUUUUAAGGGAGAGGGAAAUCAUCGACCUCACGAGGAGGACGACGCCUAUAUAAGGCCGCCUGCAAGUAGGCGUCGAUUGAACCCUCUGACUCCACCAGUUUCGAUGGAGUAUGAAUCACUUUCACUAGCUUCACCAGGUAGUCACCGAGGUCAUGUCCUUCCUCCGCCUGUAGCUGCACACCCUCAAUACGUUCCUGAAACUCCACCGGCUCCUUACAAUGAUGUCGUCGUUUGCUCUCAAUGCGGGUAUCUUUUUUCUCUACAUACUGUAAGUAUGUUAAAUGUUUCAGAUGUUGAUCCAGUGGAAGAUUUGAACUUUGACUGGCUGAAUGAUUUAGCUUUUUCAGUGUGUUGUCAAGUCAUUGUGACUAACACAUCAAGUGUCAUGUCAUUGUGACCUACAUUUUUAAGUAUAACUAUAAAAUUAUAUAAUAAUUAAUACAUAAAAUCCUUCAAUCUUUAAAAUACAAUUUGAAUCAGGUGAGAACCAUGCGUACAGAACUUCUUGACCGUGCGAUGAUAUCUGAUAUCACGAUCUUCAUUUUUUCCGAUUAAUUAGGUGUUGUCAUUAGUUAUUGUUUAUAGGUGUUGUCAUUAGUUAUUGAUGUGUCAGUAGUUAUUUAUAGGCCUUGUUUAUAGGUGUUGUUUAAUUUUUAGAUUUUUUUUCUUUCUUUUUCAGUGUGUUGUCAUAUCGCUGUGACUGACACAUCAAGUGUCAAUCAUCAGCGACAUCAGAUGUCAUCACCGCGACAACAGAUGUCAAUCACCAUGUCAUUCAGUUUAAUUGAAUUGUUGUGGAAAAUAUUUGACGGUGAUGACAUACACACGAAUUGUUGUGAAUGCGUUGGAAGUCUUGCAAAAAUCUUUUAUUUUACGUAAUUUGAUUUGAUAAUCAUUAUUUAUGUCAUGGAUUGAAACUCUAAUUGUGGUGUCCAAUCCGUGGUUAGUAUAAAAAACAUAAGUAUCCUUUACCAUUAGAAGACGGAUUAACCAAGGAUUUGACCUCGCACCGUGCAUAAAAAAAAGUAGGUAUGUACAAUUUAAAUUUAAGUAGACAUAUAGAUAAUUUUUCGUGUAGAACUACAAGUGAAUCUAAUUAUCCAUUGGACAUUUAGUCAUAUCCACUGGUCCGCAGUAUGCCAACCAGUGGUUCAUCCACAAAUGGUGAUGGGUAUCGUCGACAGCAAAGGCGACUUUUAAGGGAGACGAAAAUCAUCGACAUCACGGAGGAAGACGACGACUACAUAACACCGCCUGCACGAACCACUUUCACUAGCUCCACCAGAUUGUCACUCAAGUCAUGACCCUCGUCCACCAAGAAGAUUCGAUUAAAAAACAUAUUAAUCAUACAAUUUGAUUACACUAAUUAAAGUUUUAAAUCUUAAUCCAAAAUGGAAUUUUAUUAGAUACAAAUAAAAAAAACAGAGCUAAUGAUUAUAAUAAUCAUCUUCAGAUUUAUUGCUGUCUACUAUACUAUAUUUUAUUACAAACAGCAACAAUAAAUUACCAAUAUUCCAAAAAUAAUACAUUUCAUUUUCUUAAAAUUUCUUUGUCUAGGCACUAGCACUAGGCAGGGGAGAAGAGCUCACCGUAAUGUUGUUCAAAAGAUUGAUGGUAAACUCAACAGGAAUUAUUGGGCAAGAGGGGUGGAAGGUUU
rnacentral:lncRNA from 1 species